rnacentral:lncRNA from 1 species
GCUCCAAGGUGAUAUCGCAGGUACUAGUGAAAUGGUCAGAAUGGCCAGAAUCACUUGCUACAUGGGAGGAUGAAGAAGCUAUCAAGCAAGCGUUCCCGUACGCUCCAGCUUGGGGUCAAGCUGUUUCUAAAGGGGGAAGGGAUGUCACCAAGGCCCAGAAGACAGUGCCACUGGAGAUCGACGACCAGGCUGCAGCCAAAGCGCAGAGAAGCAAACGCACCAAGAAGCCCAAUGUCAAGUACGUUGGAGGCCCAUGGGUGAACUAGGUCUAUUACUGUAGCACAUAAAUACUUGUCUGUAAUAAGUGAACGGCAGACUGGAACAUACCUGUUGGCGGCGGCUGGCUUGUUGCCUGUCCGGAUCCUCAUACGCCUGUGUUGAACCCUGAUCGGAGUAAAAUCCUACCACCACCAAUUGAUCCAAAAACAGAUUCCAGUCUCUGUGAUUGUGUUGCUAACAUGAUCCAUCAUCCAUGUGUGGCUUGCCAUGAGCCCAUGCAUCGUCACUGGAUUUCCCCAUGAACACACACACGUGUGGUGUGUUCGUGUUGGCAUAUUGUUUGUUGUUAAAAAAAUACAGAUACGUCAUCGUGAUUCUAUAUAUCUCCUGUACAUGUUAGCACACAAUAAACCAUAAAAUGAACUGUACGGCCACCGUGCCUGCAAACAUAUCUCAGACUCAAGACUGCUGGCUGGUGAGCUUUUUCAUUCACGGGACGACUUAAACGCCGCCCAACAUAUUUGAUGGUGACCUAACCAAAAAAAAA